rnacentral:rRNA from 1 species
AGCAAACGCUGGCGGCAGGCCUAACACAUGCAAGUCGAACGAACCCUUCGGGGUUAGUGGCGGACGGGUGAGUAACACGUGGGAACGUGCCUUUAGGUUCGGAAUAACUCAGGGAAACUUGUGCUAAUACCGAAUGUGCCCUUCGGGGGAAAGAUUUAUCGCCUUUAGAGCGGCCCGCGUCUGAUUAGCUAGUUGGUGAGGUAACGGCUCACCAAGGCUACGAUCAGUAGCUGGUCUGAGAGGAUGACCAGCCACAUUGGGACUGAGACACGGCCCAAACUCCUACGGGAGGCAGCAGUGAGGAAUCUUGCGCAAUGGGCGAAAGCUUGACGCAGCCAUGCCGCGUGGAUGAUGAAGGUCUUAGGAUUGUAAAAUCCUUUCACCGGUGAAGAUAAUGACUGUAGCCGGAGAAGAAGCCCCGGCUAACUUCGUGCCAGCCGCCGCAGUAAAAC